UCAAGCGACCCCCUCGACAUCCCUCGCCGAGUCCUCAUUUGGAGAAGUCGAACAACGCCACACCCAUCUUGCACAUUUGGUCAUGAAGAAGUGCGCCGAAUUGAGCUCCCAGAGGUUACCCAGACCUUCUCGCUGCCCCCAUAUCCAGUAUAGUCAUGUUGUCGCCAUAAGACUGCCCCGGAGCUCAAAUGAUACCCUCGAUGUCGCCGUGCUGCACCUUAUCUUGUCGUUGCCUUCCCGAAGACCAAUGGCCUCCCACUCUAUUAAGACGAGGUCUGUCUGCUCCGACUGCCCAGACGCGAUCUAGUAAUUGGACAAUCCGGAUGCUUCUCCUUUUCUGCAUGGGCCGCUCGACCCCAGGCUAGAUGAAUUAGAAGUGUCUAUGCAUUCCAUCUUGGACCUCUUGGGUUCAGCCUAGCUAUCCACUUCCCUAGGUUAGACUAUUCACACAUUGGAGCAGUGCGGCAGCUAACGAGGGGUCUGUAAUCUAUAUCUAUAUCUAUACUUCUAUAAUCUAUAUCUAUACCAAUAUAAAAAGACCCAGUGGGGCAGAUCUAACAGAUCUUGGCCAUCAA